rnacentral:rRNA from 1 species
UACGGGGGGGCAAGCGUUGUUCGGAAUUACUGGGCGUAAAGGGCUCGUAGGCGGCCAACUAAGUCAGACGUGAAAUCCCUCGGCUUAACCGGGGAACUGCGUCUGAUACUGGAUGGCUUGAGUUUGGGAGAGGGAUGCGGAAUUCCAGGUGUAGCGGUGAAAUGCGUAGAUAUCAGGAGGAACACCGGUGGCGAAGGCGGAUCUCUGGGCCUUACCUGACGCUGAGGCGCGAAAGCUAGGGGAGCGAACAGG